UACGUAGGCAGCAAGCGUUGUUCGGAGUUACUGGGCGUAAAGAGUGCGUAGGCGGUCUUUUAAGUUUGGUGUGAAAUCUCCCGGCUCAACUGGGAGGGUGCGCCGAAAACUGGGGAGGCUUGAGGAUGGGAGAGGCAUGCGGAAUUCCUGGUGUAGCGGUGAAAUGCGUAGAUAUCAGGAGGAACACCUGUGGCGAAAGCGGCGCACUGGACCACAACUGACGCUGAGGCGCGAAAGCUAGGGGAGCAAACAGG
rnacentral:rRNA from 1 species